rnacentral:rRNA from 1 species
UACAGAGGUCCCAAGCGUUGUUCGGAUUUACUGGGUUUAAAGGGAGCGCAGGCGGAUUGGUAAGUCAGUGGUGAAAUACCCGUGCUUAACAUGGGAACUGCCAUUGAUACUAUCAGUCUUGAAUGUUGUUGAGGUUUGCGGAAUGGGUCAUGUAGCGGUGAAAUGCAUAGAUAUGACCCGGAACACCUAUUGCGAAGGCAGCAGGCUAAACAAAUAUUGACGCUGAGGCUCGAAAGCGUGGGGAUCAAACAGG